ACGGAAGGCAGCAGUGGGGAAUAUUGGACAAUGGGGGAAACCCUGAUCCAGCGACGCCGCGUGAGUGAAGGAGUAUUUCGGUAUGUAAAGCUCUAUCAGCAAGGAAGAAAAUGACGGUACUUGACUAAGAAGCUCCGGCUAAAUACGUGCCAGCAGCCGCGGUAAUACGUAUGGAGCAAGCGUUAUCCGGAUUUACUGGGUGUAAAGGGGGCGUAGACGGCAAAGCAAGUCCGAAGUGAAAUCCCGGGGCUCAACCCCGGAACUGCUUUGGAAACUGUUUAGCUAGAGUGCAGGAGAGGUAAGCGGAAUUCCUAGUGUAGCGGUGAAAUGCGUAGAUAUUAGGAGGAACACCAGUGGCGAAGGCGGCUUACUGGACUGUAACUGACGUUGAGGCUCGAAAGCGUGGGGAGCAAACAGGAUUAGAUACCCUGGUA
rnacentral:rRNA from 1 species